UGAAGACGAGUGGCCGAGCCCCAACAGAGAUGACGCCAGAGACGACGACCAGCCUGUGAGGAGAAGAAAGAACAACUUUAUUGAGACAUUACUGGAUGCACUGGUGCUUCAAUGACACCAAGCAGAUUCAGACAGGAUGGAACAGAGAUGAUGGGAGGCAGAUCCAGGACCAGUGCAUGACCAUCGCGAGACCAUUCAGUUAACACAAGAGCUCUCUCUCCAAGAUCCCCAAUCUAAUGAAAGAUCAGAUCAACAAACCAGACAAGGAACAACCCAUGAUGUGAAUCCAG